UGGCUCAGUUGGUAGAGCAUGGUGUUUGCAACGCAAGUGUUGUGGGUUCGAUUCCCAC
rnacentral:tRNA from 1 species